ACCAUAAAUAUAGGGAUGAAAUGAAAGUGACAGUUCUUGAAGAGCUGAAGAAGUCAAAGUUCUCUGUUCAGAAUCCAUUUUAGUUUACAAAUUUUUUUAAAUUUGGGUGAAAGAGAAAGCAAUGUUGGACUAUCUCCCAGAAGAAGUGGUUCAGGAGAUUCUGAACAGACUACCAGUCAAAUCCCUAAUUCAAUUCAGGCGUGUUUCCAAAUCAUGGAACUCUCUAAUCACAGCCUCUUCCUUCAUCAAUUCCCACCUCACUCGAUCACUUUCACUUGUUCCCAACUCCAACACACUAGUUGUUAGGAGCUGCACCGCUUCUGAAUCCAAGGUAGUAGAGAGCUAAAAUUUCAUUCACGAUGACAAUAAGGAUGACUCCUUGUUAAACCCAUUUCAGAAUAUUGAGUUUUCAUCAUUGAGUUUCUCUAAGUUAAUUGGCUAUGCGAAUGGCUUGUCCUGUCUUUAUGAACAAGACCGUUAAGUUCUUUGGAAUCCUUCUGUUAGAAAAUGUUUCACCCUUCCAAAGUCUUCCCUUAUUCUCAUACGCGGCCAGCAUUGUUGUUGUUCUGCAUUCGGGUUUGAUUCACUAUCCAAUGAUUAUAAGGUGGUGACAAUUGAUUUUCAACAUACUGAUCAGAAUGAUCAGUCUGAGAGCAAGCCAGCUUUGGCUGAGGUUUAUUCUCUUAAAGAGGGUUCUUGGAGAAUAACUACUACUAGAGUCCCUUCUCCGCCUUGAAUCAUAUUUGAUUUCAGUUUCCCAGCAGCCUUUUUAAAUGGGGCUGUCAAUUAUACGGUGAACGAUUUGGCCAAUGGCCGUGUACCAAGGAUUCGUGAUUUGGCCAAUCGCCAUGGACCAAGGAUUCGUCCAUCAGUUUUGUCCUUUGAUUUAAGUAAUGAGGCUUUUCGUGUGAUGUCGUUGCCAGUAGGGAUGAUACAUUCAUAUGCAUUGGACACUUCAGUGAUCAGGGGAGCACUUUUUAUAUUAUGUCAUGCUUUAUUAUGUCAGGGGAAUAAGUGCUAUGAUGUUUGUUCCAUUUGGGUGAUGAAAAAGUAUGGCGUUGUUGAUUCUUGGACUAAACUUUGCAAUUUUAAUCUUACUGGAGGAAUUACGAGGGUAUUAGGUUUCCGGAAGAGUGGUCAUAUGUUAGUGACAACAGCAAGAGCGCUUUCUGUUGGGUUCACUUCAUAUGACCCUAAGAAUCGAGAAGUUAAGAAGUUGGGGAUGUAUGGGGCAACAAUAGAUUAUUGUGCUAAUAAUUUUGUGGAGAACCUUGUCUUACUUGACAAACCAAAUGAUGCAGUUUCUCAAAGGGGAGUGACCCAGAAGAGGAAAGUUACAUGGAAGAGGAAAUGCAGGUCACGGUCCCUUCAAUCGGACCAAAUCAGUGCUGUGAACCCUUAGGGUUGUGGCCAGGAAGGCAUCAUCCUUAGCAGGUGGCAUUGGCAGGUAAGAAAUAUAAGUUGUGGGUUUAGCACAACAAUCAUUCAGUGUGGAGCAAUUUAUAUUUUGUAACUAAUAAAUAAUAAUCUGAAAAGAUUAUAAAUUAUUGCUGA